AACCCUGAUGCAGCUAUACCGUGUGUGUGAAGAAGGCCUUAGGGUUGUAAAGCACUUUCAAUGGGGAAGAAUUUAAUAUUGCUAAUAUCGAUAUUAAUUGACGUUACCUAUAUAAGAAGCACCGGCUAACUCCGUGCCAGCAGCCGCGGUAAUACGGAGGGUGCAAGCGUUAAUCGGAAUUACUGGGCGUAAAGAGUACGUAGGUGGUUUGUUAAGUCAGAUGUGAAAUCCCUGAGCUUAACUUAGGGAAUGCAUUUGAAACUAAUAAACUAGAGUUUCGUAGAGGGGGGUAGAAUUCCAGGUGUAGCGGUGAAAUGCGUAGAGAUCUGGAGGAAUACCAGUGGCGAAGGCGACCCCCUGGACGGAAACUGACACUCAGGUACGAAAGCAUGGGGAGCAAACAGGAUUAGAUACCCUGGUAGUCCAUGCCGUAAACGAUGUCGAUUUGAA
rnacentral:rRNA from 1 species